rnacentral:rRNA from 1 species
UUUUACAAUGGAGAGUUUGAUCCUGGCUCAGGAUGAACGCUAGCUACAGGCUUAACACAUGCAAGUCGAGGGGAAACGACAUCGAAAGCUUGCUUUUGGUGGGCGUCGACCGGCGCACGGGUGAGUAACGCGUAUCCAACCUGCCCACCACUUGGGGAUAACCUUGCGAAAGUAAGACUAAUACCCAAUGAUAUCUCUAGAAGACAUCUGAAAGAGAUUAAAGAUUUAUCGGUGAUGGAUGGGGAUGCGUCUGAUUAGCUUGUUGGCGGGGUAACGGCCCACCAAGGCAACGAUCAGUAGGGGUUCUGAGAGGAAGGUCCCCCACAUUGGAACUGAGACACGGUCCAAACUCCUACGGGAGGCAGCAGUGAGGAAUAUUGGUCAAUGGACGAGAGUCUGAACCAGCCAAGUAGCGUGCAGGA